rnacentral:rRNA from 1 species
GGGAUUGCCUUAGUAACGGCGAGUGAAGCGGCAAUAGCUCAAAUUUGAAAUCUGGCUCUCUCUGAAAGCCCGAGUUGUAAUUUGCAGAGGGUGCUUUGGCUUUGAAAGCGGUCUAAGUUCCUUGGAACAGGACAUCACAGAGGGUGAGAAUCCCGUAUGUGGUCGCUAUUCAUUGCUGUGUAAAGCCCCUUCGACGAGUCGAGUUGUUUGGGAAUGCAGCUCUAAAUGGGAGGUAAAUUUCUUCUAAAGCUAAAUACUGGCCAGAGACCGAUAGCGCACAAGUAGAGUGAUCGAAAGAUGAAAAGCACUUUGGAAAGAGAGUCAAAUAGCACGUGAAAUUGUUGAAAGGGAAGCGCUUGCAGCCAGACUUGCCUGCUGUUGCUCAUCUAAGCUUUUGCUUAGAGCAUUCAACUGCAGGCAGGCCAGCAUCAGUUUGGGCGGCCGGAUAAAGACCUCUGUCACGUAUCUUCCUUCGGGAUGACCUUAUAGGGGAGGUGUAACACGGCCAGUCUGGAUUGAGGUUCGCGCAUCUGCUAGGAUGCUGGCGUAAUGGCUGUAAGCGGCCCGUCUUGAAACACGGACCAAGGAGUCUAACAUCUAUGCGAGUGUUUGGGUGUCAAGCCCGGGCGCGUAAUGAAAGUGAACGGAGGUGGGAACCCUCUCUGGGGGUGCACCAUCGACCGAUCCUGAUGUCUUCGGAUGGAUUUGAGUAAGAGCAUAGCUGUUGGGACCCGAAAGAUGGUGAACUAUGCUUGAAUAGGGUGAAGCCAGAGGAAACUCUGGUGGAGGCUCGCAGCGGUUCUGACGUGCAAAUCGAUCGUCAAAUUUGGGCAUAGGGGCGAAAGACUAAUCGAACUAUCUAGUAGC